rnacentral:lncRNA from 1 species
CCUCGCGGCACUCUAUAGCUUUUGUUUCCAUAGCAACUACGGUGGACGCGAAUGUACAAACAUGAGGUGAACAGAGAAGAAGGACGAAAAGUGUUUGUUAAAUACUUAUGAGAUGCUCUGUCGCCAUCAUUAGUAUUUUUAUACCGUUGCAAUGACACCGAUAUAGUUUACUUCAGCUGCAAAUGUAUGCCUCUAUUGUUGCUUCGCUCACAAAUACCCAUCGUUUUCCCAGGGCGUUGGUAGAUUUGUUCCCGGAUUUAUAAUGAUGGAUGACAUCGAACAGGCAAUAGAUGAGGAGCUGAUGAAAUUAAACCUACAUCCUUCUGAAAAUGACUCCGAAUCAGACGACGACAACUUCACUGUUUUGGAUGGAAAUCUGCAUUCAGAAAAUGAGCUGCCUGACUCAGUAUUCACAUAUGUUGAAGCUUCAAGAAAUCGAAUGAAUACCUUUGAACAAUUAAUCCUUGAAGAUGUUGAAGAAAAGGACUUCUCAAGCCAGAACCUGUCUCACCUUAAUCACAAUGAACCAGCUUCAGAUUUCAUACACGACCCCAUGAAGUGGAAAGAGCGAGUGAGUCAUGGUUAUUUGUUUGCGGUUAAAUGGAAAUGGUAUUCCAUCUGAGGC